rnacentral:rRNA from 1 species
CAUGCAAGUCGAGGGGCAGCAUGAAUAUUGGCUUGCCAAUAUUUGAUGGCGACCGGCGCACGGGUGAGUAACACGUAUCCAACCUUCCGGUUACUCGGGGAUAGGCUUUCGAAAGAAAGAUUAAUACCCGAUGUUGUGUAUCUUUCUCCUGAAAGAUACGCCAAAGGAUUCCGGUAACCGAUGGGGAUGCGUUCCAUUAGGCAGUUGGCGGGGUAACGGCCCACCAAACCUUCGAUGGAUAGGGGUUCUGAGAGGAAGGUCCCCCACAUUGGAACUGAGACACGGUCCAAACUCCUACGGGAGGCAGCAGUGAGGAAUAUUGGUCAAUGGACGGAAGUCUGAACCAGCCAAGUAGCGUGAAGGAUGACUGCCCUCUGGGUUGUAAACUUCUUUUAUACGGGAAUAACAUGAGGUACGCGUACCUUAUUGCAUGUACCGUUAUGAAUAAGCAUCGGCUAACUCCGUGCCAGCAGCCGCGGUAAUACGGAGGAUGCGAGCGUUAUCCGGAUUUAUUGGGUUUAAAGGGAGCGUAGGUGGGAUAUUAAGUCAGCUGUGAAAGUUUGGGGCUCAACCUUAAAAUUGCAGUUGAUACUGGUUUCCUUGAGUACGGUACAGGUGGGCGGAAUUCGUGGUGUAGCGGUGAAAUGCUUAGAUAUCACGAAGAACUCCGAUCGCGAAGGCAGCUCACCGGGCCGGAACUGACACUGAUGCUCGAAAGUGCGGGUAUCAAACAGGAUUAGAUACCCUGGUAGUCCGCACAGUAAACGAUGAAUACUCGCUGUUUGCGAUACACAGUAAGCGGCCAAGCGAAAGCGUUAAGUAUUCCACCUGGGGAGUACGCCGGCAACGGUGAAACUCAAAGGAAUUGACGGGGGCCCGCACAAGCGGAGGAACAUGUGGUUUAAUUCGAUGAUACGCGAGGAACCUUACCCGGGCUUAAAUUGCGCUGGCUUUUACCGGAAACGGUAUUUUCUUCGGACCAGCGUGAAGGUGCUGCAUGGUUGUCGUCAGCUCGUGCCGUGAGGUGUCGGCUUAAGUGCCAUAACGAGCGCAACCCUUAUCUUUAGUUACUAACAGUUUUGCUGAGGACUCUAAAGAGACUGCCGUCGUAAGAUGCGAGGAAGGUGGGGAUGACGUCAAAUCAGCACGGCCCUUACGUCCGGGGCUACACACGUGUUACAAUGGGGAGCACAGCAGGUUGCUACACGGCGACGUGAUGCCAAUCCGUAAAACUCCUCUCAGUUCGGAUCGAAGUCUGCAACCCGACUUCGUGAAGCUGGAUUCGCUAGUAAUCGCGCAUCAGCCACGGCGCGGUGAAUACGUUCCCGGGCCUUGUACACACCGCCCGUCAAGCCAUGAAAGCCGGGGGUACCUGAAGUACGUAACCGCGAGGAUCGUCCUAGGGUAAACCUGGUGAUUGGGGGCUAAGU